rnacentral:rRNA from 1 species
AUUGAACGCUGGCGGAAUGCAUUACACAUGCAAGUCGAACGGUAGAGGGGGCAACCCCUCGAGAGUGGCGAACGGGUGAGUAAUAUAUCGGAGCGUGCCCAGUCGUGGGGGAUAACGUAGCGAAAGUUACGCUAAUACCGCAUACGAUCUAAGGAUGAAAGCGGGGGAUCGCAAGACCUCGCGCGAUUGGAGCGGCCGAUAUCAGAUUAGGUAGUUGGUGGGGUAAAGGCUCACCAAGCCAACGAUCUGUAGCUGGUCUGAGAGGACGACCAGCCACACUGGAACUGAGACACGGUCCAGACUCCUACGGGAGGCAGCAGUGGGGAAUUUUGGACAAUGGACGCAAGUCUGAUCCAGCCAUUCCGCGUGCAGGAUGAGGGCCCUCGGGUUGUAAACUGCCUUUGUACGGAACGAAAAGGUCUCUCUUAAUACGGGGGACUCAUGACGGUACCGUAAGAAUAAGCACCGGCUAACUACGUGCCAGCCGCCGCGGUAAAAC